CCCAGGGCUUCACCCUGGGCUGUCACAGAGCGGCCCUUCAGGCCU
rfam:Cecembia lonarensis LW9 contig000110, whole genome shotgun sequence.